ACCUCUAUAGCUCAAGGGUCAGAGCAUUGCCUGCAUGUAAUACUUAUGCAAGGUCUCUACAUUGGUGGGGAUCCAGGUUCAAUCCCUAGUGGAGACA